rnacentral:rRNA from 1 species
AACGAACGCUGGCGGCAGGCCUAACACAUGCAAGUCGAACGAGAUCUUCGGAUCUAGUGGCGGACGGGUGAGUAACGCGUGGGAACGUGCCCUUCUCUACGGAAUAGGUCCCGGGAAACUGGGUUUAAUACCGUAUACGCCCUUCGGGGGAAAGAAUUUCGGGGAAGGAAUACGGCCCGUCGUUGGACUUAGGUAGUUGGUGGGGUAAUGGCCUACCAAGCCGACGAUCCAUAGCUAGGUUUGAGAGGAUGAUCAGCCACACUGGGACUGAGACACGGCCCAGACUCCUACGGGAGGCGAGCAGUGGGGAAUUUAGA